rnacentral:rRNA from 1 species
AUGCUGUGAGCUCGAUGAGUAGGGCGGGACACGUGGUAUCCUGUCUGAAUAUGGGGGGACCAUCCUCCAAGGCUAAAUACUCCUGACUGACCGAUAGUGAACCAGUACCGUGAGGGAAAGGCGAAAAGAACCCCGGCGAGGGGAGUGAAACAGAACCUGAAACCGUGUACGUACAAGCAGUGGGAGCCCCACCACUAAGCCAGUGGUGAACUCCACAUACGCAUCCUUUGCGGAAGAUGCGGUUAACGGAGCGAAAGCGACGUUCAACCUCAGAAGAAGCAGAGGGGGCUUAGUGGUGGGGUGACUGCGUACCUUUUGUAUAAUGGGUCAGCGACUUAUAUUCUGUAGCAAGGUUAACCGCAUAGGGGAGCCGAAGGGAAACCGAGUCUUAAUUGGGCGUUAAGUUGCAGGGUAUAGACCCGAAACCCGGUGAUCUAGCCAUGGGCAGGUUGAAGGUUGGGUAACACUAACUGGAGGACCGAACCGACUAAUGUUGAAAAAUUAGCGGAUGACCUGUGGCUGGGGGUGAAAGGCCAAUCAAACCGGGAGAUAGCUGGUUCUCCCCGAAAGCUAUUUAGGUAGCGCCUCGUGAAUUCAUCUCCGGGGGUAGAGCACUGUUUCGGCUAGGGGGCCAUCCCGGCUUACCAACCCGAUGCAAACUGCGAAUACCGGAGAAUGUUAUCACGGGAGACACACGGCGGGUGCUAACGUCCGUCGUGAAGAGGGAAACAACCCAGACCGCCAGCUAAGGUCCCAAAGUCAUGGUUAAGUGGGAAACGAUGUGGGAAGGCCCAGACAGCCAGGAUGUUGGCUUAGAAGCAGCCAUCAUUUAAAGAAAGCGUAAUAGCUCACUGGUCGAGUCGGCCUGCGCGGAAGAUGUAACGGGGCUAAACCAU